AGGGUGGUGUAGAAGGCGGGGUCGUUCACGGCGCUGGUGCCGUCGAUGGCGAGGGUGAGGGUGCCGCCGGUCUUGGCGGCACCGCUCUU
rnacentral:tRNA from 1 species